AGCGAACGCUGGCGGCAGGCUUAACACAUGCAAGUCGAACGGGCGUAGCAAUACGUCAGUGGCAGACGGGUGAGUAACGCGUGGGAACGUACCUUUUGGUUCGGAACAACCCAGGGAAACUUGGGCUAAUACCGGAUAAGCCCUUACGGGGAAAGAUUUAUCGCCGAAAGAUCGGCCCGCGUCUGAUUAGCUAGUUGGUGUGGUAACGGCGCACCAAGGCGACGAUCAGUAGCUGGUCUGAGAGGAUGAUCAGCCACAUUGGGACUGAGACACGGCCCAAACUCCUACGGGAGGCAGCAGUGGGGAAUAUUGGACAAUGGGCGCAAGCCUGAUCCAGCCAUGCCGCGUGAGUGAUGAAGGCCCUAGGGUUGUAAAGCUCUUUUGUGCGGGAAGANAAUGACGGUACCGCAAGAAUAAGCCCCGGCUAACUUCGUGCCAGCAGCCGCUGUAAG
rnacentral:rRNA from 1 species